AGAGAAAGACGACUAGAGGCAAGUUUUAAGGAUACGAGAUGCGUUUAUUCUCACAGCUGUUAACUAUAAAAAGAUACCAAGUAAAAAAAAGUAGAGUCUCAUAGCUCAGCUGGUUAGAGCGCUACACUGAUAAUGUAGAGGUCGGCAGUUCGAGUCUGCCUGAGACUACUAAUUUUUUUUAUUUAUUGGAAAUUUUGGAGGUUGAGUUAUCACGUUAAGGUGAGCCGUUUUUGAAGCUGUUAACUUAUAACUGUUAGCUGUUAACUAUAAAAAGACGGGGAAUUAGCUCAGCUGGCUAGAGCGCCUGCCUUGCACGCAGGAGGUCAUCGGUUCGACUCCGAUAUUCUCCACAGAUAAAGCCUUAAUAUUAAGGUUUUUCAAAAUGGGAUUUUGAGGUUGGCGCGUAAGCGCACUCCGAAAAAGUUCAUAUUGACAACGUUCAUUGACAUACUGAAAAAAGAUACAUGAAAUUAGAUAGAAAUAUUUAAUAAAAGUAAUAAUUAUUGUAACGAGCAAUAAUUUGUAUUAAAGUAUUAAUUAUGAAAUUUUCAUAUUAAUUUUUUAAUAUAUAGUAACUCAUUAAAAAGACAAAAAGUAC
rnacentral:misc_RNA from 1 species